rnacentral:rRNA from 1 species
AUUGAACGCUGGCGGCAUGCCUUACACAUGCAAGUCGAACGGCAGCGGGGGAGAAGCUUGCUUUUCCUGCCGGCGAGUGGCGAACGGGUGAGUAAUACAUCGGAACGUGCCCUGUAGUGGGGGAUAACUAGUCGAAAGAUUAGCUAAUACCGCAUACGACCUGAGGGUGAAAGUGGGGGACCGCAAGGCCUCAUGCUAUAGGAGCGGCCGAUGUCUGAUUAGCUAGUUGGUGGGGUAAGGGCCUACCAAGGCGACGAUCAGUGGGUGGUCUGAGAGGACGAUCAGCCACACUGGGACUGAGACACGGCCCAGACUCCUACGGGAGGCAGCAGUGGGGAAUUUUGGACAAUGGGCGAAAGCCUGAUCCAGCAAUGCCGCGUGUGUGAAGAAGGCCUUCGGGUUGUAAAGCACUUUUGUCUGGAAAGAAAUGGCUCUGGUUAAUACCUGGGGUCGAUGACGGUACCGGAAGAAUAAGGACCGGCUAACUACGUGCCAGCCGCCGCCGUAA